rnacentral:rRNA from 1 species
GGUGAACGUUGGCGGCGCGUCUAAUACAUGCAAGUCGAGCGAGGCUUCGAGCCGAGCGGCGGACGGCUGAGUAACACGUUGGUAGCUACCCCGUACUCAGGGAUAACACUGAGAGAUCAGUGCUAAUACCGGAUGGUCCCGAAAGGGUAAAGAUUUAUCGGUACGGGAGGUGCCUGCGGCCUAUCAGCUAGUUGGUGAGGUAAUGGCUCACCAAGGCUAUGACGGGUAACUGGUCUGAGAGGACGACCAGUCAGAGGGAAACUGAGACACGGUUCCCACUCCUACGGGAGGCAGCAGUAAAGAAUCUUCCGCAAUGGACGCAAGUCUGACGGAGCGACGCCGCGUGCAGGAUGAAGGCCUUCGGGUCGGUAAACUGCUUUCUGAGGGAAUAAUUCUGAAUGUACCUCAGGAAUAAGCACCGGCAAAUCACGUGCCAGCAGCCGCGGUAAAGUAGU